rnacentral:tRNA from 1 species
GCAUUGGUAGUUCAGUGGUAGAAUUCUCACCUUUCACACGGGACACCUAGGUUUGAUUCCUAGCCAAUGUG